rnacentral:rRNA from 1 species
CUACGGGGCGCAGCAGUCGGGAAACUUCUACAAUGCGCGCAAGCGUGAUAGAGCAAGCCAGAGUGCGAUUCUAUAAUUGAAUCGCUUUUGUGAGAUGUAAAAAGUCUCACGAAUAAGGACUGGGAAAGACUGGUGCCAGCCGCCGCGGGUAAUACCAGCAGUUCAAGUGGCAGCCGGUUUUAUUGGGUCUAAAACAUCCGUAGCUCGUCGAGUCAGCCUCUUGUGAAAUCUGGCCUCUCAAGGGUCAGGCGCGCAAGGGGUACUGCUUGGCUAGAGACCGGGAGACGUAAGAAGUACGCAUAGGGUAGCGGUCAAAUGCGUUGAUCCUUUGUGGACUAACGAUAGCGAAGGCAUCUUACGAGAACGGAUCUGACAGUGAGGGAUGAAGGCUAGGGGCGCAAAACGGAUUAGAUACCCUGGUAGUC